rnacentral:rRNA from 1 species
UGAACCUGGUUGAUCCUGCCAGUAGUCAUAUGCUUGUCUCAAAGAUUAAGCCAUGCAUGUCUCAGUAUGAGUUUUAACACAACGAAACUGCGAAUGGCUCAUUAAAACAGUUAUAGUUUACUUGAUAGUCGAUCGUUAUACGGAUAACUGCGGUAAUUCUGGAGCUAAUACGUGCACAAAGACCUGACUUCAAG